CGCCAGUCCUGACAACAGCCUAGCAACAACUGGCUAGAGGCUAUGCCCACCUAGACCCCUUUGAGGUCAUGGGAUCACGGAGCCAGAAAUGCCUGUAGAGCAAUCUAGAUUUGAGGGGGAUGACAUUUGAACUGCGAUCUGAAGGGACAAGAGGAAGGUUUAGGCCAGCAUGUCUGGAGUAUGGUGCAAGAGAGAGAAAGAAGUGAAGAUGAGAUUGGAGAAGGAGCAAAGAGCCAGGUCAUGUAGGACAG
rnacentral:lncRNA from 1 species